rnacentral:misc_RNA from 1 species
CCGUGGUUUAUCAGUCAAAACUGCAACCAAAGGGGAAUCUGGGGGCCAAACCUUGAAGUACUUUGAUUCCCCAAGACCUCUGCAGCAGCCUAAAUCUGCCAAGAACAAAGUUACAGGUUUGAAGGAAUCAUUUCAAGUUGUUCAUAAGCUUCAGGAAGCACCUCGCAAAUCCAGUGAAGGGAAGCAUGUUUCAUUGACUUCUGGACUGAAGGAUGCUCGACGGCUUUCUUGUGAUGGAAGGGAAUCAAGAGACAUAAACAAAUCUACCAUAAAGCUUAAGGAGCUCCCAAGGCUAUCAUUGGACAGC